rnacentral:lncRNA from 1 species
UUAGUAAAAUCGAUCAUGAUUUUGAAUUUUAUUAAAAUAACCUAUUUUAUUUUUUUUUUCUAUUUUUUCAUUUUUUUAAUAUUUUGGGUUGUUGUGAUUUUUAAUCAUUUUAACUAAUAGUACAUAAAUAAAAUAAUUAUUAAAAACCUAAUGAAAAUUAAAAAUAAAGAUACAACUGGCUUGAUUUUUUGUGAUUUAUUGACUCAAUGAAUUUGAUUAGACACACUAAAGAUGAUAAUAUCAAUAAUAAAAAUAGUGAAAUAAUUAAAUGAGUAAUAAUAAUAAUAAUAAUAAUAAUAAUAAUAAUAAUAAAUAAUAAGACAUCUAAUAGAAUAAGCUAAUACUUACUAAUAAUACUGAAAAGUCUUAAACAAUGUUAAUAUGAAACUAAUAAUGAAAACUAUGGAAAUAAAAAUAAAAAAGAGUGAGAAAAAUAUAUAGAAAUUUAUCAAGUUAAAAGCAAAGAGAGAAAUAAACUACAAAAUAAUAGGUGGUAUAAAAUAUAAUAUUUUUUCUAUUUUUAUUUGUGAAGGAAAAUUAAUAUUUGAUUUGGUUUUAAUUUAAGAUUGAUUUUGGAGGGUUGAGGAAGAAAGAACAUAUUUUUUGUUGCAAGAUUUGUACUAUUAUUUUUUCUUUUGGGAAUAUUUAUUGGUUAAAUAGCUAUAUAAUAUAAUAAUAAUAAUAAUAAAUUACUAAAAUAACAAACUUAAUUAUUCAAUUUAAUAAUAAUAUAAUGAUAAAAAAAUUCUUUUUGACGUUUUCUUUUAAUACUAAUAAUACACAUAAUUUAAGAACAAUGAUAAUACUAUGCCUAAUGAAAUUAAUAGUAAACUAACUAACAAAUAUUUUUGAUUUUUCAUUUUUAUAAUAUAACAUUACCUAAUAUUACUAAUAAUACAAAAUAUAAAUAAUAGUUAUAAUAAUAAAAAAAGGAAAGAAGAGCAAAUGAACUUAAUAAGAAAAAUGAGAAGAAAUAAAAGUUAAUAAAAGGUCCCAACAUGAUUCAAACCUAAGACCUAAGGCCGUAUGCUUACACAGCUUCUUCAUACAUUAAACUCUCACCAACUGAGAGUAUUAUAAUUAUUUUGAAAAUAAAUCAGCAAAAACAUAUAUUUUUUUGAUUUUUCAUUUUUAUAAUAAUACAUUACCUAAUAUUACUAAUAAUAUCAAAAUAUAAUAAUAAUAGUUAUAAUAAUAAAAAAGGAAGAAGAGCAAAUGAACUAAAAUAAGAAAAAUGAGAAGAAAUAAAAGUUAAUAAAAGGUCCCAACAUGAUUCAAACCUAAGACCUAAGGCCGUAUGCUUACCACUCUUCAUACUUAAACUCUCACCAACUGAGAUAUUAUAAUUAUUUGAAAUAAAAUCGAGCAAAAACAUAUAUGACAGUAAAAGUUUUUUUUAUAUAUUUUUUAAUUCUUUUUAAAUAAAAGUGUAUUUUUUUUACGAAUUAAAGAUUUUUUUAAAUAUCUUUAUGUAUUUUAGAAUUUAAUAUAGUAGAGAUCAAAAUGAACUAACCUAGAUUAAUUUAAUAAUAUUCAUUUUUUUAUUUGUUACUUUAAUGAUUAUUAAUUUUUGGUAUAUUUAUUAAACUCUAUUAUUAUUUUGGUAUUUUUAUCAUUUAAAUGAGAAAAUAAUUAUUUACACACAUGAAGCCUAUAUUUUUCUUUAUUUUUGAAUUAAUAGAGAAAAGAGAAUAUUUUUGGUUUUUUAGGGAACUAAAGAAGUAAUUUUUGUUAUUUAAAUUUAAAUGAAAAGGAAAUAUUUUUUUUAUUUAAUAAAUAUCUAAAAGAUUUACUUUAGGAUUAUGAUUCUUUAAAUAAAACAAUACAUGGUGCAAAGAGCAAUGGUUCUAAAUCCCAAUAUAAUUACAAAGCCUAAAAAAACAAUUUUAUUUUAUAAAAACUAGUAACUAAGAUAAAGUAGUAAAAAAUAAUAAUAAAAAAGGGAAAGAAAGAAUAAAUAAAUAAAAAAGACAAAACAUAAAACGUACACAUGUGGUAGCAGCGGUGUCCAUUUGCAUAACCUGUAGCAUGUCUUGACCUUUUCCAAAACCAAACUUUCAUAGCCACUCCGAAAUCAACAUGUGGCAGCAAGAUCGGAGACGUUGUGGCGUUGGUUGGAUGGCGAGCAGAGCAGAGGUCACCGACGCGGUUUUUCUGGUAAAGGGUAUUACACGAUGACUUGCAGCGGUGUCAGUGGGUGACUCGUGUUGUUAUUAUGUUGAGUCGCAUAGAGAUUCGACGGUGGUGUUGUAGAGUUUUCACAGUGAGUUACGGUUUAUUGAUUCUGUUUCCUAAUUUUUCUACUUUUUUGAUUUGUUUUUGUUGUGUGAUGAGUUAUUAUGAAUCAGUUGUGUGGUGUUUUUGAACUUGUGAUAGUUAGUGAAGGUUUGGUUGUGAAUUACCGAUUUUGUUAUGGAUUUUGCUGGGAAAAAGUGUGGAGAAAAGAUAUGAAGAUGAGAAUAUGUUGGGUAUUGGAAUUUAUUAGUGGUGUGUGAGAGAUGUUUUUUUCCGCGUAAGUGGAGGCAGAGAAAAUCAGAGUAGAACUUUUUUCUUGGAUUUUUUCUAGUAUUUGUAGUUUUAUUGUACAUGUCCCCUUUUUCACAAUAUGAUAGUUCUCUUUUAUAGUUCUUAAACAAAACAAAAAAUAAAAUAAAAUCAAUCCAUAAAGUGGCACAUAAAAUUUGAUUAUUACUAUUUUUUUUUUAAAAAAUACAAUUAAAGUCACAUUAAUGUGUUAAAUUUUUUUAAUAACAGUUAUAUAAUCAAAGUAAGACCUUUUAGAUUUUUUUUCUUAGUAAAUCGAUCAUGAUUUUGAAUUUUAUUAAAAAUAACCUAUUUUUAUAUUUUUUUCCAUUUUUUCAUUUUUUUAAAUAUUUUUUUGUUGUUUUGAUUUUUAAAUCAUUUUAACUAAUAGUACAUAAAAUAAAAUAAUUAUUAAAAAAACCUAAUGAAAAUUAAAAAUAAAGAUACAACUGGUUUGAUUUUUUGUGAUUUAUUGACUCAAUGAAUUUGAUUAGACACACUAAAGAUGAUAAUACUAAUAAUAAAAUAGUGAAAUAAUUAAAUGAGUAAUAAU